ensembl:lncRNA
GCUUUAAAAACCAAAAGCCUCACACCGUAUAUAUAGGUAGCUUCACAAUGCCACAUUAUCUGCCUAUAAAAUCUGAUAAUAUAGCUUCCAGGUGCCUGGGGCAGUGGUAAGGAGAAUGGAAGUGGGAAUUUUAAGGCCAUUUAUAUUAAAAACGUAAGAAAGAACAAGUAAGAUGUGGUUAUGUUGAGCCUCCUUCCUGGGGUGAAAAUGAAACCUGCUGCUAAUGGAGCCUAAAGUCUUAUAUUUCAUCCCGUGUAUGAAAUAUGACAGGCACUGUUGGCUCUGACAGGCAUCUUGGGUCUUUUUCUAGUUUAAGUCUCCAGAGAUCUGGAGAAAUGAUGCUGUUUUCAGAUAAAGUGUGGAUAGAUUACACUGUCUGCUACCUCUGCCACUUUCAAUUCCAGAGGCUCAGGCCAGGAAAGAGAAAUCUGCUGCUUUAAGAACAUUUGCAUCAUUGGAUUAACCUCCAUGUGGAUGUUUCUUCUGAAGAGUCAGCACACAGAAGCUGUGGUCUAGAGGUGGCCAAGGUUGUACCUCCUGCUGGCAGCUGAACUUGGUCAUAUGUGAGAGUCUCCCAGGUGGUGCUGGUUUUGAAGGCAUGAAGGGGUCAUGGAGAGCAAUUGAGGCUUGGCACCAUAAAGAAAGCCCAGGAGAGGCCAUCGGUGAAAGCACAGCCCAUUUGCAGAAAGCGACCCUAGCAUUUUUGAACAAUCACCUGGAAGAGCAGUGGCAGUGGAGUGGAACCUGUCUGAGCUUAGAAGACAAGUUAUGUGCACUGCAGAGGGCAGAACUGGAGAAGUGACCCAAGACCUCUUGGAGGCUCCCAUAACUUGGUGAUAGUGACUGCUCUGGUCUUCCCUCUUGAAGUCUACAAUGGAAAAGAACACUUGUGGCAAAAAGAAAUUUAAAGAAGUACACUUCAAAGAGAAGAAUAACACCAUGAACUUUAAGGUUGCAGCUAAGGCUUGUGGUGAAAGAGCUAAGGAGAGAAAGGAGAAGCCUGAUCUUCUGGAAUGAAUGAAAUGAACCAAGGGGAGCCCUAAGGGUGAGACCUCACCCAGCUUUUACUGAAGACCAGCUUUGUAGACUGAGCAACUACUGGAUUCUUGGAUUUUUAGUUCACACUUAGCCAUUGUUGGAUUAGCUGGACUGCAGCCUUAGACUGGCUUCAAAACCACUCACUGUUCUUCAGAGUGGAUUCUGAAGGUCCUGACAUCUAAGACUGAAAAUGGUUUUACAAACAAGGAAAGGAAGAUGCAGAACACUCUUCUCACUUCCUGAAGUCCUGAUGACAAAGUGUUUUCAAAUACCACUGUGUAUUCGACUUGCAGCAGAAAAUAACUGUGGGGCAGUUUGUUCACUGCAGAACAAAGGAAGGGCUGCACAACUGGGUUUCCAGAUAAAAGUCCAGUUCAUCUCAAAGCACUUCUUACAGACUGAAGAAAGCCCCUAAGAACUCACUGACUUUAGCUCCUGAACACAUCCUCUUUCCCUGUUCUGAACUGUGUUAACCAACACUGUGCAUUCAGCCCUCGAGGAAGGCCAGGAGUUCUGGGCCUGGAGACCUCCUGCCUGCCACCUGAUGUCUGGCCACCAUACUCUGGUCAACAGCCAGGCAAUUUGCUUGUAUUUCAGGAAAACAAAGAGAAGUCUGGGUGAGCUGAUGAAGAAAACACAGCCUUAGCAGCAACCGGCAGUCAGCCAACACGGAGUCACGUUCUCUGGAGAACUGAAGCCAUUUUUAUCCUCCUCCAUAGGCCUAGGGAUUUGAAAGUGGCAUCGUUCCUGGAAGAGUAGAGCAGGUUUACAGCAUCAUCUUCUGUCUUCUGUGACAGUGCCAUGUAACAUUGUUUAAAGUGGCUAACAGUCACUGCCUUCACCUUUAUGUGACAGAUUUAUCUGCAUCGACCAGACUUUCAACUGUGAAUUAUUUCUCAUUGUGUCUAAAAUGAUCAGACUAGUUAUUUUUCUGUGCUUGACCUAUGUGGGGAGUUAGGUGGCCAUUCCUUUGCUCCUUUGGUUUCACUUUUUUUUUUUAAUUCCCAGCCAUUUGCAGUCCUCCAAAUUGGGUUUGAUAAGCAUAAUUCAAAUUCCCCACAUCUAUUCUCUAAUACAUUUCUUCUGCAGUCAAGUCCCACUUGGCCAUAGUAAGCUUCUCUUGUUCACCCAGUCUGUCAUUCAAUUGGAUACCAAAGAGAUGCAUAGAUCAUUGGCACUGUCAAAGAUGGAAGAAUGGGGCUACAGCCUGAGGCUCAGAAGCCCACUCAAUAGGCAGAGUAAGACAGCUUUUAAAGAAAGAGGGAAAUAGAAAAGAAAAGAAAAACCUAAAUAAACUAAAAUAAAGGAAGGCUUUUUUUUUGUAUAGCGUGAAAACAAGUCUCAUGGCUGUCCAAGGAUGGGGCUAUUGGGAGAGGGGACUCUUUUUCAAGAGCAUGCCAUUUUUUUUUUUUUUUUGUAUUCAUGCUGUUUCUAGAGUUCCAUCAUUUUUACUUGAGACUUGCUUUUUAAUAAAGAAAAUUCUCUGUGGGAAUUUGCCAAGAUCUGGUUUGAAGCUAGAGCAAUGAUCAGGAACACUCUAGGAAUUCUUUGGGAUCAAAUUCAGGGCCCUGAAUAUACUAUUCGAAUUCUCUAUGCCAGUCACACGCAGAGCAUAUGUGCUCUAUCCAGUGCUGGUCAUCCUAUAAACUUUACAGGGAGCAUUUGGGCUACAGGCCCUGUGAGGACUGUCCCUGUGAAGACUGUCCCUGUGAGGACUGUCCCUGUGAGGGUCUACAGAGAGAGAGGAGUCUUUCUCUGGAACCAAGGCCAGUUCCCUGAGUCUCAACAUUGUGUGGCUGGGGUCCUCAUUUGCAUUUCCUGUCUUAAGUGGGCCCUGUAGCUCUGUGAAGCCCUCUACACAGGAGCUUACUGCCUACUGGAGUGGCAGAAACUUUAGGGUGAGAGCUACCUCUACCUCUUUCAGCCAGGGUCCAUGCUCUGUUCAUACUUUGGGGACAUAUAGAAAUUAAUUUUAUAGUUGUUUUUUGAGGCAUUUGUGAGUUAAGGAGCACCAUUUAAAUAGACAUUUUAGUUGUCUGGGUCAGGGGGUUGCUCAGAAUGUGUUUACUUGAAUGGAGUUGUGCAAGGCAAAUCCUGAGUGUUUGUGAGAAAACUCCAAGAAAACAAGACAAGCCUUGUGACCCCAGUUUCUACAAAGCAGCGGAAUUGUUCUUGGAAUGCGCUGUCAUGUUCUUCCCAGCUGUAGGGGUUGGGAGUAGUUUACUUCAGAUUAUUCAUUACAACUGGCUAUUGUUAUUUGUUUAUGUGCCUCUAUGGACAAACAUGCUUUUGCCACCUUUGGCUUGCUUUUGUGAUUGUAUACUUUACUUAUAUGCUUCUUCUUAACACUCAGCGCAUAAAUUGUCUGAUGCUCUGAAUAAAGUUGGCUAUUGCAUGAAACUUUAGUCUCUCUUGUUUAUCAGCUCCAUUCUCCCAGGUCCCAUCGACAGUUAAAGUCCUAACAGUGAGUCUCACCAUGUUUCUGCUUUGUGAAUGACACUGUGCUCCUUUCUCAAUUCUGGCAGCUUAACUGUGUUCAGAGUUUAUACCUUUUGGGAUUCUAGCUUCCUGAGGCUUUCCCUGACUAAGGACUCUUGGAGUCUACCUCAGUCUCCACCCUUCUGCUGUUUGCACUUGCCAUUUAAUUGUUAGUAGAGAAAGGAUAUAACAUUCAAUUUAGGCUGUGUGGAUUCAUAGGUCUCUGCUUUUUCAAUAGGGUCUGCCCUGGG